rnacentral:rRNA from 1 species
GAUGAACGCUAGCGGGAGGCUUAACACAUGCAAGUCGAGGGGCAGCACGAGGUAGCAAUACUUUGGUGGCGACCGGCGCACGGGUGAGUAACGCGUAUGCAACCUACCCUGUACAGGGGGAUAACCCGGAGAAAUUCGGACUAAUACCCCAUAAAGAUAUUUAGAGGCAUCUUUGAAUAUUUAAAGUUCCGGCGGUACGGGAUGGGCAUGCGUAACAUUAGCUAGUUGGUAAGGUAACGGCUUACCAAGGCAACGAUGUUUAGGGGUCCUGAGAGGGUGAUCCCCCACACUGGUACUGAGACACGGACCAGACUCCUACGGGAGGCAGCAGUGAGGAAUAUUGGUCAAUGGGCGCAAGCCUGAACCAGCCAUCCCGCGUGAAGGAAGAAUGCGCUAUGCGUUGUAAACUUCUUUUCCAGGGGAAUAAAAUUUUGUACGUGUACGGAAUUGAAAGUACCCUGGGAAUAAGCAUCGGCUAACUCCGUGCCAGCAGCCGCGGUAAAAC